AGGUGCUUGCCCCCCGGAAAGGAGUGGCGGACGGGUGAAUAACACGUGGGCAACCUGCCCAUCAGAGGGGGAUAACACUUGGAAACAGGUGCUAAUACCGCAUAAUUCUUUUUGUCGCCUGACACAAAGAUAAAAAACGCUUUCCGGUGUCACUGAUGGAUGGGCCCGCGCUGCAUUACCUAGUUGGUGGGGUAACGGCUCACCAAGGCCAUGAUGCAUAGCCGACCUGAGAGGGUGAUCGGCCACACUGGGACUGANACACGGCCCAACUCCUACGGGAGGCAGCAGUAGGGAAUCUUCGGCAAUGGACGAAAGUCUGACCGAGCAACGCCGCGUGAGUGAAGAAUGUUUUCGGAUCGUAAAACUCUGUUGUUAUAGAAGAACAAGUGAGAGAGUAACUGUUCUCACCUUGACGGUAUCUAACCAGAAAGCCACGGCUAACUACGUGCCAGCAGCCGCGGUAAUACGUAUGUGGCAAGCGUUGUCCGGAUUUAUUGGGCGUAAAGCGAGCGCAGGCGGUUCCUUAAGUCUGAUGUGAAAGCCCCCGGCUCACCGGGGAAGGUCAUUGGAAACUGGGGAACUUGAGUGCA
rnacentral:rRNA from 1 species